GACGAACGCUGGCGGCGUGCUUAACACAUGCAAGUCGAACGGAAAGGCCCUGCUUGCAGGGUACUCGAGUGGCGAACGGGUGAGUAACACGUGGGUGAUCUGCCCUGCACUUCGGGGUAAGCCUGGGAAACUGGGUCUAAUACCGGAGAGGAGCCCUUCUUAGUGUGAUGGUUGGAAAGUUUUUUCGGUGUGGGAUGAGCUCGCGGCCUAUCAGCUUGUUGGUGGGGUAAUGGCCUACCAAGGCGGCGACGGGUAGCCGGCCUGAGAGGGUGGACGGCCACAUUGGGACUGAGAUACGGCCCAGACUCCUACGGGAGGCAGCAGUGGGGAAUAUUGCACAAUGGGCGCAAGCCUGAUGCAGCGACGCCGCGUGGGGGAUGACGGCCUUCGGGUUGUAAACUCCUUUCGCUAGGGACGAAGCUUUUUGUGACGGUACCGAGAUAAGAGGCACCGGCUAACUACGU
rnacentral:rRNA from 1 species